GACGAACGCUGGCGGCGCGCUUAACACAUGCAAGUCGAGCGAGAACCAGUCCUUCGGGACUGGGGAAAGCGGCGAACGGGUGAGUAACACGUGGGUAAUCUGCCCUCGGCACCGGAAUAGCCCGGGGAAACCCGGAUUAAUGCCGGAUGGCCUCUCUGCCCCUCGGGGCGGCGAGAAAAGGUAGCUUCGGCCUCCGGCCGAGGAUGAGCCCGCGGCCGAUUAGCUUGUUGGUGGGGUAACGGCUCACCAAGGCGACGAUCGGUAGCUGGUCUGAGAGGACGAUCAGCCACACUGGGACUGAGACACGGCCCAGACUCCUACGGGAGGCAGCAGUGGGGAAUCUUGCGCAAUGGGCGAAAGCCUGACGCAGCGACGCCGCGUGAGGGAUGAAGGCCUUCGGGUUGUAAACCUCUUUCAGCAGGGAAGAAGCGAAAGUGACGGUACCUGCAGAAGAAGCACCGGCUAACUACGUGCCAGCAGCCGCCGUAAGAC
rnacentral:rRNA from 1 species